rnacentral:rRNA from 1 species
UACGUAGGGGGCAAGCGUUGUCCGGAUUUAUUGGGCGUAAAGAGCGUGUAGGCGGCCUGACAGGUCUGCUGUGAAAACUCGAGGCUCAACCUCGAGAUGUCGGCGGAAACCGUCUGGCUAGAGUCCGGAAGAGGAGAGUGGAAUUCCUGGUGUAGCGGUGAAAUGCGUAGAGAUGUGGAGGAACACCAGUGGCGAAGGCGACUCUUUGGCCUGUAACUGACACUGAGGCGCGAAAGCGUGGGGAGCAAACAGG